AGCAGCCGCGGUAAUUCCAGCUCCAAUAGCGUAUAUUAAAGUUGUUGCAGUUAAAAAGCUCGUAGUUGAAUUUCGGGGUUAGCAAGUUGGUCGUGCCUUCGGUAUGCACUGGCUUUGCUGAUUCCUCCUUCUUGAAGAACUGUGAUGCUAUUAAUUUGGUGUUGCAGGGAAACAGGACUGUUACUUUGAAAAAUUAGAGUGUUUAAAGCAGGCUAACGCCUGAAUACAUUAGCAUGGAAUAAUGAAAUAGGACGUUUGAUCCCAUUUUGUUGGUUUCUAGGAUUGACGUAAUGAUUAAUAGGGAUAGUUGGGGGCAUUAGUAUUCAAUUGUCAGAGGUGAAAUUCUUGGAUUUAUUGGAGACUAACUACUGCGAAAGCAUUUGCCAAGGAUGUUUUCAUUAAUCAAGAACGAAAGUUAGGGGAUCGAAGACGAUCAGAUACCGUCGUAGUCUUAACCAUAAACUAUGCCGACUAGGGAUCGGAUGAUGUUAAUUUUUAAUGA
rnacentral:rRNA from 1 species